AGUGAACGCUGGCGGCAGGCCUAACACAUGCAAGUCGAACGGACGCACAGUGAGAGUUUGCUCUUACGGGUGGCGAGUGGCGGACGGGUGAGGCAUACAUCGCAAUCUAAUUUUUCGUGGGGGAUUACGUAGAGAAACUUCCGAUACUACCGCAUACGAUCUACCGGUGAAAGCAGGAGUUCAUCGGACCUUGCCCGAUAGAAUGAGACGAUGUCGGAUUAGCUAGUUGGCGUGGUAAAGUCACACCAAGGCAACGAUCCGUAGCUGAUCUGAGAGGAUGAUCGGCCACACUGGAACUGAGACACGGUCCAGACUCCUACGGGAGGCAGCAGUGGGGAAUAUUGGGCAAUGGGCGCAAGCCUGAUGCAGCAAUGCCGCGUGAGUGAAGAAGGCCUUCGGAUUGUAAAGCUCUGUUAUUAGGAAAGAAAAACAGCGUAAUAAUACCUGGCUGUUCUGACGGUACCCAAAGAGAAAGCACCGGCUAACUACGUG
rnacentral:rRNA from 1 species